UAUAUAUACAAGAGAUGUCCAGUCUCUCAGGAGUCAAAUUAGAAAAGUUGCAAUGGGCCAACCAGUGACCAUUGGAUCUCCAACUUUUGUUGACUUUUCUCCAAUGUGACCUAGAAUGGCUCCAUGGCAGAUCUCAUUGGAAAACAUCCCUUUCCUUUGGGAACACCUUG